rnacentral:rRNA from 1 species
UGGGGAAUAUUGGGCAAUGGGGGGAACCCUGACCCAGCAACGCCGCGUGAAGGAAGAAGGCUUUCGGGUUGUAAACUUCUUUUACCAGGGACGAAGGACGUGACGGUACCUGGAGAAAAAGCCACGGCUAACUACGUGCCAGCAGCCGCGGUAAAACGUAGGCCACAAGCGUUGUCCGGAAUUACUGGGUGUAAAGGGAGCGCAGGCGGGAAGACAAGUUGGAAGUGAAAUCCAUGGGCUCAACCCAUGAACUGCUUUCAAAACUGUUUUUCUUGAGUAGUGCAGAGGUAGGCGGAAUUCCCGGUGUAGCGGUGGAAUGCGUAGAUAUCGGGAGGAACACCAGUGGCGAAGGCGGCCUACUGGGCACCAACUGACGCUGAGGCUCGAAAGUGUGGGUAGCAAACAGGAUUAGAUACCCUGGUAGUCCACACCGUAAACGAUGAUUACUAGGUGUUGGAGGAUUGACCCCUUCAGUGCCGCAGUUAACACAAUAAGUAAUCCACCUGGGGAGUACGACCGCAAGGUUGAAACUCAAAGGAAUUGACGGGGGCCCGCACAAGCAGUGGAGUAUGUGGUUUAAUUCGACGCAACGCGAAGAACCUUACCAAGUCUUGACAUCCUGCGACGCACAUAGAAAUAUGUGUUUCCUUCGGGACGCAGAGACAGGUGGUGCAUGGUUGUCGUCAGCUCGUGUCGUGAGAUGUUGGGUUAAGUCCCGCAACGAGCGCAACCCUUAUGGUCAGUUACUACGCAAGAGGACUCUGGCCAGACUGCCGUUGACAAAACAGAGGAAGGUGAGGAUGACGUCAAAUCAUCAUGCCCUUUAUGACUUGGGCUACACACGUACUACAAUGGCGUUAAACAAAGAGAAGCAAGACCGCGAGGUGGAGCAAAACUCAGAAACAACGUCCCAGUUCGGACUGCAGGCUGCAACUCGCCUGCACGAAGUCGGAAUUGCUAGUAAUCGUGGAUCAGCAUGCCACGGUGAAUACGUUCCC